ACUGUGGCAAUCCCAGAGCUAAUACAUGCCAACGAACGCUGACCUUCGGGGAUGCGUGCAUUUAUCAGACCCAAAACCCAUGCGGGGUGCUCUCCGGGGUGCCCCGGCCGCUUUGGUGACUCUAGAUAACCUCGAGCCGAUCGCUGGCCCUCGUGGCGGCGACGUCUCAUUCGAAUGUCUGCCCUAUCAACUUUCGAUGGUACUUUCUGUGCCUACCAUGGUGACCACGGGUAACGGGGAAUCAGGGUUCGAUUCCGGAGAGGGAGCCUGAGAAACGGCUACCACAUCCAAGGAAGGCAGCAGGCGCGCAAAUUACCCACUCCCGACUCGGGGAGGUAGUGACGAAAAAUAACAAUACAGGACUCUUUCGAGGCCCUGUAAUCGGAAUGAGUACA
rnacentral:rRNA from 1 species